GACGAACGCUGGCGGCGUGCUUAACACAUGCAAGUCGAACGGAAAGGCCCUGCUUUUGUGGGGUGCUCGAGUGGCGAACGGGUGAGUAACACGUGAGUAACCUGCCCUUGAAUUUGGGAUAACUUCAGGAAACUGGGGCUAAUACCGGAUAGGAGCUCCUGCUGCAUGGUGGGGAUUGGUAAGUUUCGGCGGUUGGGGAUGGACUCGCGGCUUAUCAGCUUGUUGGUGGGGUAGUGGCUUACCAAGUCUGUGACGGGUAGCCGGCCUGAGAGGGUGACCGGGCACAAUGGGACUGAGAUACGGCCCAGACUCCUACGGGAGGCAGCAGUGGGGAAUAUGGCACAAUGGGCGGAAGCCAGAGGCAGCAACGCCGCGUGCGGGAUGACGGCCUUCGGGUUGUAAACCGCUGUCGCCUGUGACGAAGCGUGAGUGACGGUAAUGGGUAAAGAAGCACCGGCUAACUACGUG
rnacentral:rRNA from 1 species